GGUGGGUAUAGCUCAGUGGUAGAGUGCAUGCUUAGCAUGCAUGAGGUCCUGGGUUCAAUCCCCAGCACCUCCA
rnacentral:tRNA from 1 species